AUUGAACGCUGGCGGCAGGCCUAACACAUGCAAGUCGAACGAGUGGCGGACGGGUGAGUAACACGUAGGAACCUACCGAUAAGCGGGGGACAACAUCCGGAAACGGUAGCUAAUACCGCAUCCCAUCGGAUGUGCCCAGAUGGGAUUAGCUAGUAGGUGGGGUAACGGCUCACCUAGGCGACGAUCCCUAGCUGGGCUGAGAGGAUGACCAGCCACACUGGAACUGAGACAGGGUCCAGACUCCUACGGGAGGCAGCAGUGGGGAAUAUUGCACAAUGGGCGCAAGCCUGAUGAAGCCAUGCCGCGUGUAGUAAGAAGGCCUUGGGGUUGUAAAGUACUUUCAGCGGGGAGGCGUUACUCGAAGAAGAAGCACCGGCUAACUCCGUGCCAGCAGCCGCGGUAAUAC
rnacentral:rRNA from 1 species